rnacentral:rRNA from 1 species
CUACUGGGGUUUCUAAUCCUGUUCGCUCCCCACACUUUCGCUCCUCAGCGUCAGGUAAUGCCCAGAGAACCGCCUUCGCCACCGGUGUUCCUCCUGAUAUCUGCGCAUUUCACCGCUACACCAGGAAUUCCAUUCUCCCCUGCAUACCUCUAGUCUGCCCGUAUCGGAAGCAAGCCAGGUGUUAAGCACCUGGUUUUCACUCCCGACGCGACAAACCGCCUACGAGCCCUUUACGCCCAAUAAUUCCGGACAACGCUCGGACCCUACGUAUUACCGCGGCUGCUGGCAC